rnacentral:misc_RNA from 1 species
UAGAAAUUAGAAAAGAGAUCUGUUGAUCUUUUUUCGCCGAACAGCAAUGUCCGGAUCAUCCUUGUCUAUGAGCACUCCUGUUUCCUCGGCGGGUUCGCCCGCCGACGGACCCACUGUUUAACGCUUAUGAUGCACUUCGUGUUGUCUGAGCUAUAUGCAAAAACAAUCA